rnacentral:rRNA from 1 species
AUUGAACGCUGGCGGCAGGCUUAACACAUGCAAGUCGAGCGGGGGAGGUUACUUCGGUAACUGACCUAGCGGCGGACGGGUGAGUAAUGCUUAGGAAUCUGCCUAUUAGUGGGGGACAACAUUCCGAAAGGAAUGCUAACACCGCAUACGUCCUACGGGGGAAAGCAGGGGAUCUUCGGACCUUGCGCUAAUAGAUGAGCCUAAGUCGGAUUAGCUAGUUGGUGGGGUAAAGGCCUACCAAGGCGACGAUCUGUAGCGGGUCUGAGAGGAUGAUCCGCCACACUGGGACUGAGACACGGCCCAGACUCCUACGGGAGGCAGCAGUGGGGAAUAUUGGACAAUGGGGGGAACCCUGAUCCAGCCAUGCCGCGUGUGUGAAGAAGGCCUUUUGGUUGUAAAGCACUUUAGGCGAGGAGGAGGCUCCUUUAGUUAAUACCUAAAGAGAGUGGACGUUACUCGCAGAAUAAGCACCGGCUAACUCUGUGCCAGCAGCCGCAGUAAGAC